GGCCGGCUGGCGCAAUGGUAGCGCAUCAGACUUCUACCUUCUCUGGCCUAGAGACGUGGUUAUCUGGGGGUUGUGGGUUCGAGCCCCACGUUGGUCA
rnacentral:tRNA from 1 species